rnacentral:lncRNA from 1 species
CCUUGUCUUCUGAUUUCCCUUACUUUUUCUCCCUCAGUUAUUCUAAGUUGGUGAGUGUAGGUAAAAUAUCAUCCCUGCCUUCUUAAAUAUUUAAGUAGACACUUUACUAUGGUGCCUAACUGGUGGUUGUCAGCAAACAUUAACUAUUAGAGAAAGGAAAAUAUUUUGUCUUUAUAGUUUCUUUCUGCCCCCACCCCAUCUCAGUCCUAUAUUCACCUGUUCUUGCUGUUCAGAGGCGAUUGAGUGGUAUCCUUGUAUGACAGCUGUGUAGGUGUGUCUUAGAGACAGGUGGGUAUUGCUGGCCAUGCCUUUACAGAGAAUCGGUGUCCUGGUGAAUCCAUGUUAGCCCUCAGCAAAUAGCAACUUGGUGCUUCCAGUGCCCACCUUCAAUCCCCCACCCUCUUGUCACCUGCUACUUGUUCUGCCUGAGUCAUUGCUGUGGCGGGGAGAGCUCUUCCCUGCAGUAAAGGGCUUGUUUGUGUUACUGCAUCUAGUUCUUAAGGUAAAGACAAUCACUGUGCUCGGAGUGUUUCUGUCUUUGUAUCUGGGGAGCAAAUACUGCAUAGUAGGUUUUCUGUUGGUGUGUUGCACCAGGGUGCAUGCUGAUAAUCUCCAGCUAGGUGUGCAAAACAAUGUGUUGAGCUUUUGAAGGAAUUCCAGCAAGUUAACAUAGAGGUAAAGGAGUACUUUGGAUUUCUCAGUGGGGUAGCAAAAAUGGAUGGAAGUGUGGCAUGUGGUCACAGACAAUCCUUUGUCUCAGAACAAACCACUUUUUUUUCCUGAAGAAAGACUGUCCAGCACAACCUGGGAGCUGUGUUCUGUGUGAACGAUGCAGCAAGACAUUCUCAGAAUUCACAUCCCGUUUGGAGCCAGUUCUUUCUUUCCUCCCUCAAGCCUCUCUGCCCUGUAGAUCUCCCCACAAAAAUGCAUGAUAUCAUGACCUCGUGUGUGAGGUUGGGUAUAUAGCAUAGCAAAGCAAGGGAAAUAUAGUUAUAUAUUGAGUCUUAAGACAUUUCUUUAGUAAAAAAGUAUCAAACAAUGGGGGUGGGGGCAGGGAAAUUGUGACUUUCAGAAUUAAUUUUUUUCCCAGAAAUUAAGUGGGGGUGUUUUUCAGUCUAGAAUAAAAGAAUGUGAAUUCUUUCCACCACUCUUAUUUAAGCUUAAACAUACUGUUUACUUGAAAAGGCUCUCUGACCAUUUAAUUUUCUAAAAAAAACAAACAAACAAACAAAAAAAAAAAACAGGGAAGUAUCAGGAAAGUGGCUUCUGGAAUGUUGAAGCAGGAUAACUUGUCUUCAAAAACCUAGUGGCCACCACAUGACAGGAGUGCUUUGUGCAGUUCAAGGAUGGACUUUCCAGGGCCUGGGGGUUUGUGGGAUAUUUUUUGUUUUGUUUUUGCCACAAGAUCUUCAGUGUGUUUGUUUCAGGGUGGAAGUGGGGGUUGUAUGAAGCUGUCAGAUAUUCUAAGGAAAUCUUCCUGCAACAGUAAAUGAAGACAACUGUAUAUUUGUGAUAUAGUGAAACAAAAGACAUUUCUGGUAUUUUGACUCCUGGGAGGGUAUCAGGAGCAAACUAGGACUUUUCUCCUCUCUGAACCCAGAAACAGUGUUUAUGAUAACGUGUGGUACAGCAAACCGAUCCAGACCAUAUGAGUAGACUCAGCUUUCUUACUGCAGAGUAUCCACUCAGUCCUAAUAUUACCUGGUGAUGGAGUUAGGCCUCAGCUGUUAGUUUUUGAAGCGGCUGUAAAUUACUGCUCCUACCCCCACCUUCAUAUUUUUAACUGGUGGGGUUACUUGUUAAGAUUUUUUUAAAAAGUAGAUAUGUUGGAUUGAUAUUCUCACGUGUUCAGUGUGGAAAACAAGUACAUGCUUUAGAGGCAACAACAGUGAAAUCCUUUUGGAAUGUGUAUUAAUAUCAAUAAAAUAACUAGUUCUAAAGGUUUGACAUUUUUCUUUGAGAUUGGGGCUUUGACCAAGGGCCCUUGGCUUUUCUGGUAAGUGCAAGCAGAAGCGACUUCUCUUCUCCAGGAGCCAAAACAGCAGCAUUAUAGCACAGACCUAUGUUAAAUUCUCCAGUGAAGAUACAUCUUGACUAUCCAGGGCCAGAGGUGAAACAGGCUUCAGAAUGCAGAAAAGCUGGGGGACAGCCCUGAAGAUGCCACUAAACUGGCUUUUCACCAGAGGGUAUGUGGGAAGGACAGAAGGCGGUGUGUACCCCCCACUUACCUGAGGCAUAUGUGCCACAAACCUGCCCACCUUGUCUGUUUUCUUCAUAGCCACUUAGACUUACCUCUCCGAGCUUCUUGGAAAAAACAAACUGUGUCCAAUAUUUUGUUUUCCAGCUUAAUAAAAUAUGGUUUUGUUUGUUGCGUGGUUAA